UACGUAGGGGGCAAGCGUUGUCCGGAAUCAUUGGGCGUAAAGAGCGUGUAGGCGGUCUUGUAAGUCCGCUGUGAAAGUCAAGGGCUCAACCCUUGAAUGCCGGUGGAUACUGCAGGACUAGAGGCCGGAAGAGGCGAGUGGAAUUCCUGGUGUAGCGGUGAAAUGCGCAGAUAUCAGGAGGAACACCGAUGGCGAAGGCAGCUCGCUGGGACGGUACUGACGCUGAGACGCGAAAGCGUGGGGAGCAAACCGG
rnacentral:rRNA from 1 species